rnacentral:lncRNA from 1 species
UUCGACUGACGAUCGGCGCUCACCAAGGUCGAGCCCCGACGUGCCGACUCGGACUUGGUAUCCGCCUGAAACCGACUAUCCCAUCGUCGGUGAUGCAUCGGACUCUUACGAGGACCGAUAUAUCUACAUGGACGGGGGUCACACCCCUCCGACUUUCGGCGACACAUCGGACUCUUACGGGGACCGAUGCAUCUACAUUGACGGGAGUUGACACUCCUUCUACGGUCGAACUUUCGGACC